UGUUUAGAAGAGAUGCAUUUAUUAGAUAAAAGCCAAUACAUGCUUUUAUAGUAUGAAAGUUGGUGAUUUACAAUAACUUAGCAAAUCGCAUAGUGUAAACAGGCGAUAAAUCAUUCAAGUUUCUGACCUAUCAGCUUUCGACGGUAUGGUAUUGGCUUACCGUGGCAGUGACGGUUAACGGGGGAUUAGGGUUCGAUUCCGGAGAGGGAGCCUGAGAAACGGCUACCACAUCUAAGGAAGGCAGCAGGCGCGCAAAUUACCCAAUUCUAACAGCAUAAGAGAGGUAGUGACAAGAAAUAACAGUACAAGGCAGUUAAAAUGCUUUGUAAUUGGAAUGAUAGAAAUUUAAACACUUUUUAGAGUAUCAAUUGGAGGGCAAGUCUGGUGCCAGCAGCCGCGGUAAUUCCAGCUCCAAUAGCGUAUAUUAAAAUUGUUGCAGUUAAAAAGCUCGUAGUUGAAUUUCUGUUAAAAAUAACCGGUCUGCUUUUAAUAAAAGUAGUACCUUGGUGUGUUUUUAGCAAUAAUGUCCUUUGAAAUGUUUUUUACUUUAUUGUAAUAAACCAUAUUCAGGAUUUUUACUUUGAGAAAAUUAGAGUGUUUCUAGCAGGCUAAUGCUUUGAAUACUGCAGCAUGGAAUAAUAAG
rnacentral:rRNA from 1 species